GGGCCGUUAGCUCAGGUGGUAGAGCAGCAGACUUUUAAUCUGCGGGUCGAUGGUUCGAGUCCAUCACGGCUCACCA
rnacentral:tRNA from 1 species